UCAUUUCACAUUAUAUUAAGCAAACCAGACAGCACUUUUUUAAAUAAAUGGUAAAGUACUUUACACCACUGUCACAUAUGAAGCUUUAUUGGCGCUCCUUCCACAUUACAGAAAAUUCAACCUGUAUAUUUUUGUCACAGUUUGUGCAACGGUCUAUUGUACUUUGUUGUGGAGGAGAUCAGAUAUAACUUUUGGCAAGGAACCACCCCUGAAACCAACCAUGCUCAACUGUGUGUGCUGGACAAGUUCCGAACAUUUUUAUGAGAUGCACUGAAGUGUGUGUGUGGAGGGUUGUCAUAUUGUAUCCCUCCUACUGUACAGUGGAUUUAAAGAUAUUUGCUGAUGCCUUGGUCAAUAAUGUGAUGAUAUUCUUCUACAACAUUACUUCAGGAGAUGUCAGUCCCCUUACUACGAUAUUAAAGACUGUGGUGUGACAAUUCUGUGGGUCGAGAGAGAAGACCUGUUGUGCGUUCGUGCGCAUGAUGACCUGAAUUGGAGGUGAAUGUUGUUGACGAGGGCCUAACCAGGCCUCAACCAAACCAUGACUGACUCCUGAAGGGAGAAUCUAACGAUCUCUGAGGACAAACCACAGUAUUAUGGCGAUCCUGACCUGCAUCUUUACACACAUGCUUUAGGAUUGGCUCUAGAAUUGAAGCAUUACUGUUCAGUUGGCUUCCGUCAUGCUGGAGGAUCCAAACGGAGACGAAUCAGAGAAACUAUAUUCAUAAUUCACUUUGUAUUGAUAGCAUAUUAUGCCAUGCCAGAGAUCAUUUUUAUUUGGCCCCUUUUUAAUAAAUAGAUUAAACAUCAACUGACGCACACUUUGGCGUUAACUCAAUGUCACAUUUCAGUAUCGUUUUCUAAAAGUAGGAUUCUGUCUAUCUCCUAUCAGGGAUCUUGGUGUUGCCUUAGCAAUGGCUGUGGAGUUGAAUAGGUCCUAUACUAUUUAAUGUAUUCAGACUGAAUGUGUCCAUUGUUUCUAUAAGAAUUUAGGUCUAUAAGGUCUUGGUUGUUAUCACCGUGGUAACAUACCAAAACCUUGAUACUUUAAAACUGAUAACGAUGACUGAGAAUAUCUCCAACACUGGCGCUCCUCACAGAAGCAGCUCCUAUGGGUAUGAUGUGGAACGGUAAAGACUAAGUGCUAUUGCAUCGGUUUAUUAUUUAUUUUGUUGACUAAGUACAGUAUCCUCACAUGGAAUCAAUCUUUUAUGAUGGUCAGUAUUAUUAUAUUUAUUUAUUGGUUGUGGUGUUAUUGCUAAUGGAAAAAUGUUAGCCUUCAUUAUUCAUUCAAAGCAACUAAUCAAGAACUAUUUGCCUCCGCCUGACCAGCAUAGAGCUCUCUCAGGCCCAGCGCCCAGGUCGAAAUCCCUCCGCCUGACCAGCAUAGAGCUCUCUCAGGCCCAGCGCCCAGGUCGAAAUCCCUCCGCCUGACCAGCAUAGAGCUCUCUCAGGCCCAUCGCCCAGGUCAAUAUCCCUCUGCCUGACCAGCAUAGAGCUCUCUCAGGCCCAUCGCCCAGGUCGAAAUCCCUCCGCCUGACCAGCAUAGAGCUCUCUCAGGCCCAGCGCCCAGGUCGAUAUCCCUCCGCCUGACCAGCAUAGAGCUCUCUCAGGCCCAGCGCCCAGGUCGAUAUCCCUCCGCCUGACCAGCAUAGAGCUCUCUCAGGCCCAGCGCCCAGGUCGAUAUCCCUCCGCCUGACCAGCAUAGAGCUCUCUCAGGCCCAGCGCCCAGGUCGAUAUCCCUCCGCCUGACCAGCAUUAGAGCUCUUACCCUCAAAACGGGAAUCAAUGGUGAAACAGCCACAUCCAUUUGUGAUAUUACAACAACAAAUUGUACUUUGUAGAAGAGCUUAAUAUGUACUGCAUUGUUUUCACCAUGCUGCACGACACUCCACAGCUCAGCAACAACAAUAACAACGGUGGUGGGGCGGCCAGUGGAGCUGUUUCCCCCUCUGACAGCCUUCAGAACUCUGGCUUGUAUCCACAAAGCAUCUGAGGAGAAAUGCUGAUCUAGGAACAGGCCCCAUGUCUCCAUAUAAUCAUUAUUCAUUGAGCUCUAAAUGGCAAUACUGGUCCUAGAUCAGCUGUUUCUCCAGACAAUUGUUAGGGCUCUGUGAACACACAGCAGAUGUUUUCUUUACUGUGUGUAGUUCUUCUAUUUAUAUUAUCUAGGUUCAGUACAUCACUAUUAAACUGUGCAAUUCUGAAAUGUU